rnacentral:rRNA from 1 species
CCUACGGGGUGCAGCAGUGAGGAAUAUUGGUCAAUGGCCGCAGGGCUGAACCAGCCAAGUCGCGUGAGGGAUGACGGUCCUAUGGAUUGUAAACCUCUUUUGUCAGGGAGCAAAGGGCGCCACGUGUGGCGCUUUGCGAGUACCUGAAGAAAAAGCAUCGGCUAACUCCGUGCCAGCAGCCGCGGUAAUACGGAGGAUGCGAGCGUUAUCCGGAUUUAUUGGGUUUAAAGGGUGCGCAGGCGGAAUGUCAAGUCAGCGGUAAAAUUUCGGGGCUCAACCCCGUCGUGCCGUUGAGACUGGCGUUCUUGAGUGAGCGAGAAGUAUGCGGAAUGCGUGGUGUAGCGGUGAAAGGCAUAGAUAUCACGCAGAACUCCGAUUGCGAAGGCAGCAUACCGGCGCUCAACUGACGCUCAUGCACGAAAGCGUGGGUAUCGAACAGGAUUAGAUACCCGUGUAGUC